rnacentral:rRNA from 1 species
UUAAGCUGUAAAGGGCGCAGGGCGAAUGCCUUGGCACUGGGAGCCGAAGAAGGACGCGGUUAACUGCGAUAAGCCAUGGGGAGCCGUAAGCAGGCGCAAUAUCCAUGGAUUUCCGAAUGGGGCAACCCGACUGAGAGAAGCUCAGUCAGCGCAUGGUGAAUCAAAUAGUCAUGCGUGGGGAACCGCCUGAACUGAAACAUCUAAGUAGGGCGAGGAAAAGACAUCAACCGAGAUUCCGUAAGUAGUGGCGAGCGAACGCGGAGGAGGCCAAACCUUUGGUAGAAAUACCGAAGGGGUACGGACAGCAAAAGGUACGCUAACGUUUAGUCGAAGUGUGUGGGAAAGCACACCAAAGAGGGUGAGAGUCCCGUAGACGAAAAGCGGAAGCGACUGGCUGUAUCCAGAGUACCGCCGGACACGUGAAACCCGGUGGGAAGACGGGGGGACCACCCUCCAAGCCUAAAUACUACCCAGUGACCGAUAGAGUAACAGUACUGUGAAGGAAAGGUGAAAAGGACCCCGGGAGGGGAGUGAAAAAGAACCUGAAACCUUGUGCCUACAAGCACAUAGAGCACGUCAAGGUGUGAUAUGGUACCUAUUGUAGAAUGGUCCGGCGAGUGAAUGUAACCAGCGAGGUUAAGGACUUCAGGUCCGGAGCCGAAGCGAGAGCGAGUCUGAACAGGGCGUCAAGUUGGUUGUAUUCGACCCGAAACCGGGUGACCUACCCAUGUCCAGGAUGAAGUGGAGGUAAAACUCCAUGGAGGUCCGAACACACGUCCGUUGAAAUGGCCGGUGAUGAGGUGUGGGUAGCGGAGAAAUUCCAAUCGAACCCGGAUAUAGCUGGUUCUCUCCGAAAUAGCUUUAGGGCUAGCCUUGUUUUAGAUUACCGGGGGUAAAGCACUGAAUGAGCUAGGGGCUGAAAAGUUACUGAACUCUAUCAAACUAAGAAUACCGGAUAAUCGAUGAACAGGAGUCAGACUAUGGGAGAUAAGUUUCAUGGUCAAAAGGGAAAGAGCCCAGACCCACAUUUAAGGUCCCUAAAUACAGUUAAGUGGAAAAGGAUGUGGGGUUGCCCAGACAACCAGGAUGUUGGCUUAGAAGCAGCCACUCAUUAAAAGAGUGCGUAAUAGCUCACUGGUCGAGUGACCCUGCGCCGAAAAUUUAACGGGGCUAAACUGUAUACCGAAGGUUGGGAUGCACGGUGUAAGCUGUGCGUGGUAGGAGAGCGUUCUUUAAGGGGUGAAGCAAUAGCGGAAGCGGUUGUGGACUUUAAAGAAGUGAGAAUGCCGGAAUGAGUAGCGAGAAUUAUGUGAGAAUCAUAAUGGCCGAAAGCCUCAGGUUUUUGAAGGAAGGUUCGUCCGCUUCAAGUUAGCCGGGAGCUAAGGCGAGGCCGAAAGGCGUAGCCGAUGCACAUACGGUAGACAAUCCGUAGCCACCGAAGUAUUUAAGAUAAGGGACACUUGCAAAGGGUAUGACCCGGGCGAUGGUAGCCCCGGGCGUAAGGGAGCGAUUUAAUCGCGAAGCAUACUUAGCGCAAGGCGAGAAAAGCUUAUUGGUAUAUACCAGGUGCCCGUACCGCAAACCGACACAGGUAGGUAGGAGGAGAACUCUAAGGCCAACGGGAGAAGAGUUGUUAAGGAACUCGGCAAAUUGACCCCGUAACUUCGGGAAAAGGGGUGCUCCGGAAACGGAGCCGCAGUGAAUAGGCCCAGGCAACUGUUUAUCAAAAACACAGGUCUCUGCUAAAUCGAAAGAUGAAGUAUAGGGGCUGACGCCUGCCCGGUGCUGGAAGGUUAAGAUGAGAUGUGCAAGCAUUGAUUUGAAGCCCCAGUAAACGGCGGCCGUAACUAUAACGGUCCUAAGGUAGCGAAAUUCCUUGUCGGGUAAGUUCCGACCCGCACGAAUGGCGUAAUGAUCUGGGCACUGUCUCAACAGCUCACCCGGCGAAAUUGUAGUACCGGUGAAGAUGCCGGUUACCCGCGACAAGACGGAAAGACCCCAUGGAGCUUUACUGUAACCUGAUAUUGGGUUUCGAUACUUUAUGUACAGGAUAGGUGGGAGGCAAAGAAGCAUUGGCGUCAGCCGGUGUGGAGCCGCCCUUGGGAUACCACCCUUAAAGUAUUGGAAUUCUAACCUGCAGCCGUGAAUCCGGUUGGGGGACAUUGUCAGGCGGGCAGUUUGACUGGGGCGGUCGCCUCCGAAAGAGUAACGGAGGCGCUCAAAGGUUCGCUCAGCAUGGACGGAAACCAUGCUUUUGAGUGUAAACGCAAAAGCGAGCCUAACUGCGAGACUGACGGGUCGAGCAGUAACGAAAGUUGGAGUUAGUGAUCCGGCGGUAUGUGAGUGGAAAUGCCGUCGCUCAACGGAUAAAAGCUACCCUGGGGAUAACAGGCUGAUCUCCCCCAAGAGUCCACAUCGACGGGGAGGUUUGGCACCUCGAUGUCGGCUCAUCACAUCCUGGGGCUGAAUUCGGUCCCAAGGGUUCGGCUGUUCGCCGAUUAAAGUGGUACGCGAGCUGGGUUCAGAACGUCGUGAGACAGUUCGGUCCCUAUCUGUCGUGGGCGAAGGAUAUUUGAGAGGAGCUGUCCCUAGUACGAGAGGACCGGGAUGGACGCACCUCUGGUGCACCGGUUGUUACGCCAGUGGCAUAGCCGGGCAGCUAAGUGCGGGAAGGAUAAACGCUGAAAGCAUCUAAGCGUGAAGCCAACCUCAAGAUAAGAUAUCCCACAGCUUAAAGCUGGUAAGGUCCCCGGAAGACUACCGGGUUGAUAGGCCGCAUGUGUAAGCGCUGCGAGGCGUUGAGCUAGGCGGUACUAAUAGACCGAGGGCUUAACCU